rnacentral:rRNA from 1 species
AACGAACGCUGGCGGCAGGCUUAACACAUGCAAGUCGAACGCCCCGCAAGGGGAGUGGCAGACGGGUGAGUAACGCGUGGGAACAUACCCUUUCCUGCGGAAUAGCUCUGGGAAACUGGAAUUAAUACCGCAUACGCCCUACGGGGGAAAGAUUUAUCGGGGAAGGAUUGGCCCGCGUUGGAUUAGCUAGUUGGUGGGGUAAAGGCCUACCAAGGCGACGUUCCAUAGGUGGUCUUCGAGGAUGAUCAGCCACAUUGGGACUGAUACACGGCCCAAACUCCGACGGGAGGCAGCAGUGGGGAAAAUUGCACAAUGGGCGCAAGCCUGAUCCAGCCAUGCCGCGUGAGUGAUGAAGGCCUUAGGGUUGUAAAGCUCUUUCACCGAUGAAGAUAAUGACGGUAGUCGGAGAAGAAGCCCCGGCUAACUUCGUGCCAGCCGCCGCAGUAAAAC